rnacentral:rRNA from 1 species
UGGGGAAUCUUCCGCAAUGGACGAAAGUCUGACGGAGCAACGCCGCGUGAGUGAUGAAGGUCUUCGGAUUGUAAAGCUCUGUUAAUCGGGACGAAAGAGUUCUGUGUGAAUAAUGCAGAAAAGUGACGGUACCGGAAUAGAAAGCCACGGCUAACUACGUGCCAGCAGCCGCGGUAAUACGUAGGUGGCAAGCGUUGUCCGGAAUUAUUGGGCGUAAAGCGCGCGCAGGCGGCCUAUCCAGUCUGUCUUAAAAGUUCGGGGCUCAACCCCGUGAUGGGAUGGAAACUAGUAGGCUAGAGUAUCGGAGAGGAAAGCGGAAUUCCUAGUGUAGCGGUGAAAUGCGUAGAUAUUAGGAAGAACACCAGUGGCGAAGGCGGCUUUCUGGACGAAAACUGACGCUGAGGCGCGAAAGCCAGGGGAGCGAACGGGAUUAGAUACCCCCGUAGUCC